rnacentral:tRNA from 1 species
GCAUUGGUGGUUCAGAGGUGGAAUUCUUGCCUGCCACGUGGGAGAACUGGGUCCAAUUUCCGGCCAACGCA